AGUGAACGCUGGCGGUAGGCCUAACACAUGCAAGUCGAACGGCAGCACAGUAAGAGCUUGCUCUUACGGGUGGCGAGUGGCGUACGGUGGAGGGAUACAUCGGUAUCUACUUUUUCGUGGGGCAGAACGUAGGGAAACUUACGCUAAUACCGCAUACGACCUACGUGUGAAAGCAGGGGAUCUUCGGACCUUGCGCGAUUGAAUGAGCCGAUGUCGGAUUAGCUAGUUGGCGGGGUAAAGGCCCACCAAGGCGACGAUCCGUAGCUGGUCUGAGAGGAUGAUCAGCCACACUGGAACUGAGCCACGGUCCAGACUCCUACGGGAGGCAGCAGUGGGGAAUAUUGGACAAUGGGCGAAAGCCUGAUCCAGCCAUACCGCGUGGGUGAAGAAGGCCUUCGGGUUGUAAAGCCCUUUUGUUGGGAAAGAAAAGCAGCAGGUUAAUACCCCGCUGUUCUGACGGUACCCAAAGAAUAAGCACCGGCUAACUUCGUG
rnacentral:rRNA from 1 species